rnacentral:rRNA from 1 species
UACAGAGGGGACAAGCGUUGUUCGGAAUUACUGGGCGUAAAGGGCGCGUAGGCGGCCUGCUAAGUCGAACGUGAAAUCCCUGGGCUCAACCCAGGAACUGCGUCCGAUACUGGUUGGCUUGAAUCCGGGAGAGGGAUGUGGAAUUCCAGGUGUAGCGGUGAAAUGCGUAGAUAUCUGGAGGAACACCGGUGGCGAAGGCGACAUCCUGGACCGGUAUUGACGCUGAGGCGCGAAAGCCAGGGGAGCAAACGGG